UACGGGGGGGUAAGCGUUGUUCGGAAUUACUGGGCGUAAAGGGCUCGUAGGCGGCCAACUAAGUCAGACGUGAAAUCCCUCAGCUUAACUGGGGAACUGCGUCUGAUACUGGAUGGCUUGGAUUCGGGAGAGGAUGCGGAAUUCCAGGUGUAGCGGUGAAAUGCGUAGAUAUCUGGAGGAACACCGGUGGCGAAGGCGGCAUCCUGGACCGACACUGACGCUGAGGAGCGAAAGCCAGGGGAGCAAAGCGGG
rnacentral:rRNA from 1 species